CGUUUGUUCGGUAGUGUUAGAUAUUGCUAUGUGCUGUUCCCUACGCCAAAAACGGCGGGUCCUGGCUGCCGGGAGGUCCUGAGACCGGCUUGUUACAUCAUGGUUGCAGGAUGGCUGCUACAGCUGUGGACAUCACAUCAAAACAUGGCAGAAGCUAAAGCAGGAAGAGAGAGGAGAAGGCAAAACAGCUUUAUUCACUUGUGGCUCUCGUGAAGAAUAAAGAUAUUUCUCAAAAGCUUCUAGUGAAGUCCAUAUAUCUUACUGGCGAGAACUGGCUUAAAUAAAUUAUGAUUCAUUCUCUGGAGCUGGAUGCAUUGCUACCUAAACAAAACUGGAGUUCUGUUAGCAAGGAGGAAGAGUUUAUGAUGAAGUCUCACUCUGUCUCCUAGGCUGGAGUGC